UACAGAGGUGGCAAGCGUUGUUCGGAAUUACUGGGCGUAAAGGGCGCGUAGGCGGUUUUGUAAGUCAGACGUGAAAUCCCCAGGCUUAACUUGGGAACUGCGUCUGAUACUGCAAAACUUGAGUGCGGGAGAGGGAUGUGGAAUUCCAGGUGUAGCGGUGAAAUGCGUAGAUAUCUGGAGGAACACCGGUGGCGAAGGCGGCAUCCUGGACCGACACUGACGCUGAGGCGCGAAAGCCAGGGGAGCAAACGGG
rnacentral:rRNA from 1 species